rnacentral:rRNA from 1 species
UCUCACCCCUUGUGCAUCACCGCGUGGGUCCCCCUUUGCCGGAGGGCCCGCGUCUUUACACAAAACUCGAUACAGUGUAGAACGUUUAUUUUCGCGCUCGCACGCGAUCAACAAUACAACUUUCAACAACGGAUCUCUUGGCUCUCGCAUCGAUGAAGAACGCAGCGAAAUGCGAUACGUAAUGUGAAUUGCAGAAUUCAGUGAAUCAUCGAAUCUUUGAACGCACCUUGCGCCCCUUGGCAUUCCGAGGGGCACACCCGUUUGAGUGUCGUGAAAUCUUCAAAAACCCUCUCUUUCGAGGGGGAUUUUUGGACUUGGAGGUUCGAUGCUCGCUUUCGCCUUUUAGAAAGCGAGCUCCUCUCNNUGAAUCAGUGGGGUCUGCUUUGCCGGUCCUUGACGUGAUAAGAUCUUUCUACGUUUUGNACUCGACAUCGUCCCGCUCCCAAUCGUCCCCACGGACAAAGGAUGGUGCUCCGGUCGCGGCCGGACCCAAAAA